GAUGAACGCUGGCGGCGUGCCUAACACAUGCAAGUCGAGCGAUUCUCUUCGGAGAAGAGCGGCGGACGGGUGAGUAACGCGUGGGUAACCUGCCCUGUACACACGGAUAACAUACCGAAAGGUAUGCUAAUACGAGAUAAUAUACUUUUAUCGCAUGGUAGAAGUAUCAAAGCUUUUGCGGUACAGGAUGGACCCGCGUCUGAUUAGCUAGUUGGUAAGGUAACGGCUUACCAAGGCGACGAUCAGUAGCCGACCUGAGAGGGUGAUCGGCCACAUUGGAACUGAGACACGGUCCAAACUCCUACGGGAGGCAGCAGUGGGGAAUAUUGCACGAUGGGCGAAAGCCUGAUGCAGCAACGCCGCGUGAGCGAUGAAGGCCUUCGGGUCGUAAAGCUCUGUCCUCAAGGAAGAUAAUGACGGUACUUGAGGAGGAAGCCCCGGCUAACUACGUGCCAGCCGCCGCCGUAAUAC
rnacentral:rRNA from 1 species